GGGGGAUAUUGCACAAUGGGGGGAAACCCUGAUGCAGCGACGCCGCGUGGGUGAAGAAGCGCCUCGGCGCGUAAAGCCCUGUCAGCAGGGAAGAAAAUGACGGUACCUGAAGAAGAAGCCCCGGCUAACUACGUGCC
rnacentral:rRNA from 1 species